GACGAACGCUGGCGGCGUGCUUAACACAUGCAAGUCGAACGGAAAGGCCCUGCUUUUGUGGGGUGCUCGAGUGGCGAACGGGUGAGUAACACGUGAGUAACCUGCCCUUGACUUUGGGAUAACUUCAGGAAACUGGGGCUAAUACCGGAUAGGAGCUCCUGCUGCAUGGUGGGGGUUGGAAAGUUUCGGCGGUUGGGGAUGGACUCGCGGCUUAUCAGCUUGUUGGUGGGGUAGUUGCUUACCAAGGCUUUGACGGGUAGCCGGCCUGGGAGGGUGACCGGCCACCUUGGGACUGAGGUACGGACCAGACUCCUACGGGAGGCAGCAGUGGGGAAUAUUGCACAAUAGGCGGAAGCCUGAUGCAGCAACGCCGCGUGCGGGAUGACGGCCUUCGAGUUAUAAACCGCUUUCGCCUGUGACGAAGCGUGAGUGACGGUAAUGGGUAAAGAAGCACCGGCUAACUACGUG
rnacentral:rRNA from 1 species